UACGUAGGGGGCAAGCGUUGUUCGGAAUCACUGGGCGUAAAGGGCGUGUAGGCGGUCAAGUUAGUGGGAUGUGAAAUGCCUCGGCUCACCCGAGGACCUGCAUCCCAAACUGCUUGGCUUGAGUACGGGAGAGGAUGGGGGAAUUCCUGGUGUAGCGGUGAAAUGCGUAGAGAUGCGGAGGAACACCGGUGGCGAAGGCAGCCCCCUGGGCUGAGAUUGACGCUCAGGCGCGAAAGCGUGGGGAGCAAACAGG
rnacentral:rRNA from 1 species